rnacentral:rRNA from 1 species
AUUGAACGCUGGCGGCAGGCCUAACACAUGCAAGUCGAGCGAGCGGCGGACGGGUGAGUAAUGUCUGGGAAACUGCCUGAUGGAGGGGGAUAACUACUGGAAAAGGUAGCUAAUACCGCAUACUAUCAGAUGUGCCCAGAUGGGAUUAGCUAGUAGGUGGGGUAACGGCUCACCUAGGCGACGAUCCCUAGACGGUCUGAGAGGAUGACCAGCCACACUGGAACUGAGACACGGUCCAGACUCCUACGGGAGGCAGCAGUGGGGAAUAUUGCGCAAUGGGCGCAAGCCUGAUGCAGCCAUGCCGCGUGUGUGAAGAAGGCCUUCGGGUUGUAAAGCACUUUCAGCGGGAAGGCGUUACCCGAAGAAGAAGCACCGGCUAACUCCGUGCCAGCAGCCGCGGUAAUAC